rnacentral:lncRNA from 1 species
CCGUAAGCGCCUCGUCAUCAUUUCCGUUUCCUCCAUUUUAUUAGUGCUCCUAAUACUGGGUGCAAUUAUCGGAAUUCUUAUUCCAAUCCACGAAAAAAACAACCCCGUGAAUGAAAAAUACGAUCCCAUGAUCAAAACGAUAUGCAACUCCACUCUUUAUAAAGACUCGUGCUACUCCAGCAUAUACUCUUUAAAGACUUCCUCGAGCAACAAAAAUCCACCCCCCGAUUCCGACACUCCGAAGUCGGUUUUCAUGCUAUCCCUACAGGUUAAUUAAUUAGCAAUAUUUUUUUUCUUUUCUAGAUUCAAAUCAUGUGACAAAUGAAAACGGUACGCAGAUAGACAUAUAUAAUUAAUACGACUUUCUGACUUUGGUUUCUAAUGAUGACUGGUGCUGGUUCUGUAGGUAACAUUCAACGAGCUAGUGAGGGUAAAAUCGUCAAUCUUGAAUAGGCUCAUUUAUUUCGCAAUAAACGACUCCAUCACUCAUAAUGCAUUGAAAGUGUGUGACCACGUGAUCAAAGACGCAAUUAGUCAAGUCAACAUGUCGAUGUCUUCUUUGCAGAGCAUUGAGAGAUUUUCAGACAAUUCGGUGAUUAGUGAUCUCAUGACAUGCCUAAGUACCGCAAUCACCGACCAAACGACGUGUUUGGACGGACUAACAGAGUACAAAGAGAAUAUUCCUCCGUCGAUCCUUGAAGAAACAAGGGCAUUAAUGGAAAAUGCCACGGUUUUUACUAGCAACAGCUUGGCAAUCAUUUCAAACAUGUUCAAAAUCGUACGAGGUUUUCAGAUCUCGGUUAAUGAUCAUAGGAGAUUGCUCCGAGUGGAGGAAGUGCGUCUGAGACCUAAUCUGACGGUGGCAAAAGAUGGCAGUGGGGAUUAUCGGACUAUAACCGAGGCUGUGAAGGCAAUGCCUAGAAGAAGUGAAAAUAGAUUCUUUAUUUAUGUGAAAAAGGGUAAAUACGAAGAAAACGUGUUUGUCGAUUCCGAUUCUUGGAAUCUGAUGAUAUAUGGAGAUGGAAUGAAGAAGACGAUAGUUUCGAGCAGCUUGAACUAUAUGGAUGGAGUGGCCACGUUCAAUAGCGGCACCUUCAGUAAGUUACCUAUUUAAAUUCCUAUAGUUUCUUUGUUUCGUCUAUUUGUUUCAUUAAUGUCACUUGGGGUGAUAAUCGAACUCGAAUCAUCCUACGACUUAAGCACUUUCGGGAAGAAAAAAAAAAUGAAAAAUUGGAUUUGAAAUUUCGGAAAUCUUAUCUUGGAAACCAAACAGAUCUGAUAUAUAACAAAUCUCUAAACGAAAUUGCGCAGUAACCGAAGGGAGAGGCUUCAUCGCGAGAGAUAUGGGAUUCAAGAACAAGGCGGGCCCCGCCAAACUCCAAGCGGUAGCUCUCCGGUCUUCAUCCGACCGCACAAUUUUCCACCGAUGCCACUUCGACGGCUACCAAGACACACUCUACACGCACUCCAACCGCCAGUACUAUCGCGACUGCACAAUCACCGGUACAAUAGAUUUCAUCUUCGGAAACGCAGCCGCAGUUUUCCAGAACUGCACAAUUCAGCCACGUCAGCCCGGGCCGGGCCAGUACAACACCAUCACAGCACAAAGCAAAUCCGACCCGAAUCAGAAAACGGGCUUCUCGAUCCAACGGUGUAGGAUAAGCCCGUUUGGCAAUCUAACUGCCGCAACUUUCCUGGGCAGGCCCUGGAAUAAUCACUCGACCGUUGUUGUAAUGGAAACGGAUGUUCAGGGGAUUAUAGACCCUGCAGGGUGGAUUAAGUGGGCCCCGGAUAGUGAAGUGCCGGAUACAAUAUUUUACGCCGAGUAUAAUAAUACCGGGCCUGGUUCGGUUAUCAGCCGGCGCGUGAAGUGGCCUGGAUAUAGGCCUGAUAUUACAGAAGAGGAGGCUGAAAAGUUCCAUGUAGAUCCUUUUAUCCAGGGGUAUAAAUGGAUAAUCGAAGCAGGUAUAGAAUAUGAUUCACGUUUAUGAGAUUUGCUUCAUCACUCAAAUUUUUAAAUAUUCUUUUUCUUUUAGUUCCACUUGUACCAUGAUUUGCAGCCUCGAGUAAUUACAUUAAAAGGCAAUGUAGAAAUAGAACAUUUAAUCUGAGUUAUAAAUUGUGACCAUGUCAAUAUUUAAAGGUGACCAUGGAUUAUCUUAAUCAAUUAAAAAAGAAUUGAAUUUGACCAAUAAAAUUUGCUAUUAGUACCUAGUUUCUUGACCAUGCCAUCAAUAUAUUUGGUAGUUUAACUAACCUGUAACACAAGUACACAACGCAGCCCUAAUAUAAUUAAUUAAAAAUUCAUUCUUUAACAAAGAUAAUUAAUACGUCUUCACAUUAUUACCAUAAUAAAUACUACAUUUAUACAUGAGUACUAUAGAAAGUGUGUGUACAGUGUCUCCUAUUCCACUUUAUAUUUCACAUGCAUAACAUAUAACAAAAAAUACUUGGGUACAUCUUUUUUAGAUACAUUUAUCAACAAAGAAUAUAUAGAUCACAUAUAUUUUAUGUGAUUUAUCAACAAAGAAUGUAUAAAUUACACAUGGUUAGCCUGGUAUAGUUUACAUCUCUCGUAUGAUUUGCAAGCUAUUAUACGAGACUGCAGAUUUACCAAGUUCGCCUAUAUAAUUAGUUAGGGAUUCCUUCAUUAGGGGAAAAAAAUUGACACCUGACAAUUGAGGUAACUAUAUAUGUCAACGAACACACCCCCAAAGAAAUAAAUAAAUAAAUAAACCAUACCACAUAGAGACUUUUACACUUAGGGGCAUGCACACGUCGUACAAUAGUUAAAGAAACACAGUUGGGCUGCCCUCUUAUAUUAUUUGUUGUUGUAAGAGUUCAAUGCAUAAAAUGAAUAAUUAAUUUUAUUUUUUAAUUUUAAUUAUUACCAAACAUGAGAAAUAAAAAUACUUUGUAACCAAUUAAUGUUAAGAUAAUCUUGUUAAACGGCAAAUAAAUGGCACAAGAGAGCAAUGUUGCUCAAAGAAGGGCAAUCAGUGUAACAAUUAGGUAUGAAGAUAAGAAGUACCACUAUUCAAUAUAAUUUAGGCCUCGUUUGGUUGGGGAGAUUAUUCAUUGUUAACUAACUAAUUUGACUUUGUUUGAUGUUUAGUAUCUCAAUAAUUUGUCGGCUCGACUGGCAAAUAUUUUGUUAUCAUAAUUUAUCUUGCCUUCCAGACAUUGUUUCUAUUAGAUGUUCCAAGAUCCAAGAAUAUAACAGGGUUUCAUUAGAUUAUUUAAUUUUAUCUUGACCAAUCUUAUAUCGGCAACUAACGAGGCCUUAAACAAUGGAUUAGCGUAAUAAAUUAAAGAUUAAUACAGCGAAGUAAUUAGCUCUAGGUCCAGGUUUUGGUCACCAACAACUAAGCAAGGACAAAAGGCAUAGCCACACACACACAUAUAUAUAUAUAUAUAUAUAUAUAUAUAUAUAUAUAUAUAUAUAUACGUGUUAUUACUUUUAUACAAGAUCAAGAAAUUGACCCCCAAACUAACUCUUCAAAAAAGUUAAAUAAUCCGUUAAAUAAUAAAUAAAUGCCCCUAUAUAUAUACCUAACUAUCUAUAAGCAUCAAUUACACCAAUUUCAUCAACUACUUAUAAAUAAUUUCUUUGACCAGCCCAAAAGAAUAAAAUUAAUUUUUUGUAACCCUAAUGGGAACACCAAAAUACAUUGUUCUUUGGGUAUUAUUAGCAAUAUCAACAUCUAAUUUCUCCACAAUUUGCUUGGCAAAAAAGGGUAGUAGUACUAAUUUUGAAGAGAAUGUGAGAACUCAAUGUGGUUUCACAAGAUAUCCAACGUUGUGCGUCCAAACCCUAACAGGGUCGGGCUCACUUAAUCCAAACGUUGAUUUCUUGUCUGUUCUUAUUAACAAGACUAUGUUCGAAACGAAAAUCCCUAGUUUUAGUUCCAAUUUUCAGAUACUCAGCUCCCAUUUCGUUUCUCCUCAAGCUCAACAAGCCCGUUUCGCCAUGGGUACGUUUACGUAACCGAUUUAAUUUUUCUAAUGAUCGUGUCUAAUUUUGUAAUUCGUCUAUAUAUAUUUUGACAAUUUUAUUUUUGUAUUAGAUUAUUGCGACGAAUUGAUGAGCAUGUCGAUGAAAAGACUAAACCAGGCAAUGGAAGCGCUACAAAAGCCGUCGCCGGAAAAGCAGAAGGUGGAUAUUCAGACGUACCUGAGCGCCGUUUUGACUUUCCAGCAAACGUGCAAAGAUUCCGUUG